GGAAGCGCACGAGCGCAAAACGCAUCGGACAGGAGAGGUGGCCCAGGCAGGGAUCCGUAUUGACAGGAAGCUCUGACAUUGUGACGCUGCUAAGUGAGCCGCGUGCCACCAAUGUUUUAAGUUAUAAAUUGGUAACACUUUAAGUAGAUCCACAGUAAGUCUUCAGAGCGCGGACAGAGUUUACACAUACCUGACUUCAACCCAAUUGAAUAUGCAUAUUCCUUGCUAAAGACAGAACUGAAGGCAAAAAGACAGCAGCCGUGAAGGCCUGGCAAAGCAUCUCUAGGGAGGAGCCCAUCAUUUGGGGAUAAUAAUGGAUUUCAGACAGGCAGUCAUCAUCUGCAAAGUAUUUUUUAUAAAAAAGUAUUGAAAAUUAUCAAAUGAUCAUA